rnacentral:lncRNA from 1 species
AAUUGAAUUGAUAGGAGAAAUAAGAUUUAAUUCAUAUUAAAUGAUAGUAAACCUAUAUGAUGGUUUUGAAUGUGUUAACAGACUCAAGGUCUAAUUUGGAUUUGAAUGUGUUCGAUAUAUACUGGGGACAAGAAGUAGAAGUUUCUCUUGAAUUUACAUAUAACUUAAGUUUUGAAUAUUUUUAAUACAUAAUAGUAUAUUUUGAUCCAAAGCUAUUUAAUGAAGCC